rnacentral:lncRNA from 1 species
UUUCAAAGUGUAGAUUUUCAAAAGUUAUGUUUGAUAAUUCUAACUUUCUAUUCCCGAGACCUACACCUUUUUUUUUUUUUAAUAUGUUUCACUUAAAAAAAAUAAAAACCUAAAUUUUUAAAACACACAUCCACCGUUCAUUUUCUUUGUCUGCGAUCACGAGCACUCACACAAAGAGCACAAGCAAUCUAACCCUAAUAUUCUUAUGCCAGCCGCCACCAUCUACUCACUUCUCUCUCUAAAGAAAACAAUUCAAACACAAACACAAAAUUAAAAUAACAAUCUGCAACAAUCCUUCUCUCUCUCAAUGUAACACACAACAAAACCCUAAAACAUAUGUUGCAGCCGCCGCCUAGCAAAUCACACAACACCACUUUCUUUCAGAUCCUCUAAAUCAAUCGAGCACAACCAAAUCGGAACCUUCAACGAUGUCAAUUAUUGAAGAUCCAUGGCGGAGGUGGUUAUGGUGGAAUCCGGUGUACGGCAGAGUUGGUGGUUCGAAGGUGGAUGUAUAGUGGAGGUGUAGUCUCGACGGAAGAAGGUGGUGUUUAGAAUGGUUGUGGUGGUCUGUGGUGGUUGUUAUACGUUGAUAUUGGUUAUGAUGAUGAACGUCGGUGGUUGUGCGGUGAGCCGGAGGUGUCGAUGAAGAGGAUGGUUGAGGAAGGCGGUGAAGGUGAACGGUGACGAUGAUGACGACAGGCGGUGAAGAUGGUGGGUUGAACGGCAAUGGCUGACCCGUGAACGGAGACGGAGAGUGUGGUGAGGAGACGGUGGAUGUUUGCCGGUGGGUUAGGGUGUACGGUGGAGCUCGGAGAUGAUGUUUGCGGUGGUGAAUCGGUGGGAUGGUGAAGUGUGACGGUGAGUGACUGGUUAUUGUUUGGAAGAGAUGCAAAAGGUGGGUCUGUUGGUUCCUGUAUACAAAGGGGUUGGCCAAUGAUUUUUAUUUUGCAAGUUUAUCGGUAAAUUGUUUGGUGAAGGGUGUGUCGGAUCUGUUGUUGAAGUUGUAGGUUGGUGUAAUAUGUGGCUGAAAGGAUAAACAACGAACCGAACCCAACAACUUUCUCUUUCUACUCUUUCUCUAAACUAAAAACGUUCGCCGGAAAAAAGGCAGAAUAGCGACGCCGGAAAACGUGACUUACCGGCGUAUUUACUAAAUACGCCGGAGAACUUGAACUCGCGUUCAAGAUUUAUUUUCGCCGGAAAAGUUUGCCGGAAUUUUUAACUUCGCCGGAAAGUCACCGGAAAACCAAAUUCGCCGGAACUUUCAAUAAAAUCGCUGUAUUCAAAAUAAAAACGCUGUAUUCAAAAUUAAAAACGCUGUAUUCAUAAAAAAUCGCCUAAAAACUUCAAAAACUCAUCUAAAACCUACUGAUUUGAGCUGAGACUUCUUUAAAUGAUAUGAAAUCACUAUGAAUCUUUCUAAUAAUACUAGUCUCAACUCUAAAUCAGCAAACAAAUACUUUAA